rnacentral:tRNA from 1 species
UGGGGCGUCGACUAAUGGCAAGUCACCGGUCUUUGGAACCGGCCAUGGAGGUUCGAGUCCUCCCGCCCCAGCCC